rnacentral:misc_RNA from 1 species
GAACGCACCUUGCACUCCUUGGUAUUCCGAGGAGUAUGCCUGUUUGAGUGUCAUUUCACCACUCAAGCCUCGCUUGGUAUUGGGCAACGCGGUCCGCCGCGUGCCUCAAAUCGUCCGGCUGGGUCUUCUGUCCCCUAAGCGUUGUGGAAACUAUUCGCUAAAGGGUGUUCGGGAGGCUACGCCGUAAAACAACCCCAUUUCUAAGGUUGACCUCGGAUCAGGUAGGGAUACCCGCUGAACUUAAG